rnacentral:piRNA from 1 species
UUACACAUCAACGGAUACACACGGGA